UCCGUAGGCGGGCGUCUAAGUCAGUGGUGAAAUCUUACAGCUCAACUGUAAAAUUGCCAUUGAUACUGGAUGUCUUGAAUUAGUGUGAAGUGGUUAGAAUGUGUAGUGUAGCGGUGAAAUGCAUAGAUAUUACACAGAAUACCAAUUGCGAAGGCAGAUCACUAACACUAUAUUGACGCUGAGGGACGAAGGCGUGGGGAGCGAACAGGAUUAGAUACCCUGGUAGUCC
rnacentral:rRNA from 1 species